GUGAUUGAGCAGAGACAACAUCUUGGAUACAAUUAGAAACACAAUGCGGGUAGAUUGAACAAAGCCAAAGUUCGCUCGACUGAGCUAAAGCAUGAGCUACCUCAUUAGACUACGACUAAUAUGAACAAAAGUAACUCAAGUAAACUUCCUUGAUAAAGCCUUGAUGUCUGCAACAAUAGUGCCCACUUGAGACCGGUCCCUUUCCCGUGCAUUCAACUUCAAAAUAAUGGAUAAACAAUUGGACUAAAUCACAAUUUUGUGGAAGCUUUCCUCAUGAGGCAAAGCUACACUAGACCGCACAACAAGUGCUUCAGCCAUCUCUGACAUGGUAACCCCAACAAAAAACUAAUAGCACCACAUCCCAUAUAGUCUCAUACCACCAUACCCGAAGCCGAACUUGAUGUGGAGGAGAAAACAGCCGCAUCCACCUCCAAUCUCAGUUUGUCCAAACGGAGCAGCGAGCAAUUAUUUCCAUUUUUUGGUUUCCAAACUAGCAAGACCUUCAUGCACGCACGAGCACGGCUCCAUUCAGAGGUGGACCUAGCAGGCAGCUCAAGGGGGGCUAAACUCUUCUAUUUCCUCUUCCCC
rnacentral:lncRNA from 1 species